CAACCUCCCACGUGGCUGAGACUACAGGUGCUUGCCACUAUGCCCAACUAAUAUUUGGAAUUUUCGUAUACGUGGAUUCCAGAGGGGUGACAGCGAAAUCUGAGGCACAUGCCUUGGGAGCUAAGUGGUUGCUGCACUUGACCACUGUGAAGACUGGUGUGGGAAGAAGGGUCGUUUCUGAUGCACUUGAGCAGGGGUCCCCAACCCCUGAGCCAUGGAGCCGCAAGGAGCCACACAGCAGGAGGUGAGUGGUGUCGAGUGAGGGAGUGAGGAAAGCUUCGUCUGUAUUUACAGCCACUCCCCUUUGCUCACAUUCCCGCCUGAGCUCCACCUUCUCAGAUCAGCAGCAGCAUUAGAUUCUCAUAGAACGCACCCUGUUGUGAACCGUGCAUGUGAGGGAUCUAGGUUGCGCUGUCCUUAAUGAGAGUCUAAUACCUAUUGAUCUGUCACUUCCUCCCAUCACGCUCAGGUGGGACCAUCCAGUUGCAGGAAAACAAGCUUAACACGCCCACUGAUUCUACAUUAUGGUGAAUUCUAUAAUUAUUUUAUUAUAUAUUACAGUGUAAUAAUGGAAAUGAAGUGCCUAAUAAAUGUGAAUGUGCUUAAAUCUUUUGGCCCAGCUCCUACCUCCCGGCAGCCUCUCCAGGCCCAGAACUUUCUCCAGUCAGCCUCUACAGACCAAGCUCAUGACUCACAAUGGCCUAUUUAGGCCCAUACCC
rnacentral:lncRNA from 1 species